rnacentral:rRNA from 1 species
AGUGAACGCUGGCGGUAGGCCUAACACAUGCAAGUCGAACGGCAGCACAGAGGAGCUUGCUCCUUGGGUGGCGAGUGGCGGACGGGUGAGGAAUACAUCGGAAUCUACUCUGUCGUGGGGGAUAACGUAGGGAAACUUACGCUAAUACCGCAUACGACCUACGGGUGAAAGCAGGGGACCUUCGGGCCUUGCGCGAUUGAAUGAGCCGAAGUCGGAUUAGCUAGUUGGCGGGGUAAAGGCCCACCAAGGCGACGAUCCGUAGCUGGUCUGAGAGGAUGAUCAGCCACACUGGAACUGAGACACGGUCCAGACUCCUACGGGAGGCAGCAGUGGGGAAUAUUGGACAAUGGGCGCAAGCCUGAUCCAGCCAUACCGCGUGGGUGAAGAAGGCCUUCGGGUUGUAAAGCCCUUUUGUUGGGAAAGAAAUCCAGCUGGCUAAUACCCGGUUGGGAUGACGGUACCCAAAGAAUAAGCACCGGCUAACUUCGUGCCAGCAGCAGCCGCCG